GCUGGCGGAAUGCUUUAACAUGCAAGUCGAACGGCAGCACGGACUUCGGUCUGGUGGCGAGUGGCGAACGGGUGAGUAAUACAUCGGAACGUGCCCAGUCGUGGGGGAUAACGUAGCGAAAGCUACGCUAAUACCGCAUACGAUCUACGGAUGAAAGCGGGGGAUCGCAAGACCUCGCGCGAUUGGAGCGGCCGAUGGCAGAUUAGGUAGUUGGUGGGGUAAAGGCUCACCAAGCCGACGAUCUGUAGCUGGUCUGAGAGGACGACCAGCCACACUGGGACUGAGACACGGCCCAGACUCCUACGGGAGGCAGCAGUGGGGAAUUUUGGACAAUGGGCGCAAGCCUGAUCCAGCCAUUCCGCGUGCAGGAUGAAGGCCCUCGGGUUGUAAACUGCUUUUGUACGGAACGAAAAGGCUCUGGUUAAUACCCGGGGCUCAUGACGGUACCGUAAGAAUAAGCACCGGCUAACUACGUGCCAGCAGCCGCGGUAAUACGUAGGGUGCAAGCGUUAAUCGGAAUUACUGGGCGUAAAGCGUGCGCAGGCGGUGAUGUAAGA
rnacentral:rRNA from 1 species